rnacentral:tRNA from 2 species
AAGAUUUUAGGUUAUAAGACCAUGGGCCUUCAAAGCCUAAAGAGAAAACAUAUUUCAAAUCUUG